rnacentral:rRNA from 1 species
AGUGAACGCUGGCGGUAGGCCUAACACAUGCAAGUCGAACGGCAGCACAGUAAGAGCUUGCUCUUACGGGUGGCGAGUGGCGGACGGGUGAGGAAUACAUCGGAAUCUACUUUUUCGUGGGGGAUAACGUAGGGAAACUUACGCUAAUACCGCAUACGACCUACGGGUGAAAGCAGGGGAUCUUCGGACCUUGCGCGAUUGAAUGAGCCGAUGUCGGAUUAGCUAGUUGGCGGGGUAAAGGCCCACCAAGGCGACGAUCCGUAGCUGGUCUGGGAGGAUGAUCAGCCACACUGGAACUGAGACACGGUCCAGACUCCUACGGGAGGCAGCAGUGGGGAAUAUUGGACAAUGGGCGCAAGCCUGAUCCAGCCAUACCGCGUGGGUGAAGAAGGCCUUCGGGUUGUAAAGCCCUUUUGUUGGGAAAAAAAAGCAGCAGGUUAAUACCCCGCUGUUCUGACGGUACCCAAAGAAUAAGCACCGGCUAACUUCGUG